rnacentral:tRNA from 1 species
GCCGCUGUAGCUCAGCCUGGUUAGAGCGCUACGCUCAUAACGUAGAGGUCUGGGGCUCAAAUCCCCGCAGCGGCA